CAGAAAGGCCUGACUGCAAAAUGCAGGCCAGAAUGCAGCUUCUCCUUUGGGCCCCAGAAAAAGUGGGCCUGCUGGGCGGAACUGUCAGAGCCAGAGUUCUGAAAGAACCUCCAGCAGACUGUGCAAAGCUGAAAGAGCAAAGAAGAGUGAAACCUUGUGAUUUCUAGUGGAAGUCUAUGAGCAAACACUGAAUAAAUCCAAACCAAAUGAAUGAACAGCUCCUGCAAACACAAAUCAAGGAGCCAUCUGUAGUACAGGUGCAAGGCUGAACUCUGUUUGAAAAGCACAUAUGGAUUCACAAUAAAUUAUUGCAUCUGAAACUUGUUCACUAUUGUCAGUUUUUUUAAUGUUAAUACUCACAGUGCUAUUCCUUGCAUAUUUCACUGGACUGUAUUUGAUAGUUUCAGCCACUGAUCCACCUGUGUGAAUCAGCAGGUUACUAGGGCAAGAGGAGAAGCAGGAACUGAGAUAUGUCAUCUCAUGGAAUUGGUUACACAGAAAUUCAAUUAACAGUCAUGCUGGCUACAUUUCCCCUUCGUAUGUAUGAAUACCAGUUCUGCAGAAUAACAAACAGAAAGGGCUUCAUGUCCAAUUUGUGGGCUUUUGGUGAAGCAUCCUGCUGAGUAGUAUGGGAGACACAGGUUUAGAUGCUCUUUUCAUGUUCGCAUAUGGGAACUAUUCUCAUAUCUCAA